rnacentral:rRNA from 1 species
UGGGGAAUAUUGGACAAUGGGCGCAAGCCUGAUCCAGCAAUGCCGCGUGUGUGAAGAAGGCCUUCGGGUUGUAAAGCACUUUAAGCUGGGAAGAAAAAACCGGAACUAACAUUUCCGGUCUUGACGGUACCAGAAGAAUAAGCAACGGCUAACUCUGUGCCAGCAGCCGCGGUAAUACAGAGGUUGCAAGCGUUAAUCGGAUUUACUGGGCGUAAAGGGUGUGUAGGUGGUUUGGCAAGUCGGUUGUGAAAUCCCCGGGCUUAACCUGGGAAUUGCUUCCGAGACUGCUUGACUCGAGUACGGUAGAGGGCGGUGGAAUUUCCGGUGUAGCGGUGAAAUGCGUAGAUAUCGGAAGGAACACCAAUGGCGAAGGCAGCCGCCUGGGCCUGUACUGACACUGAGACACGAAAGCGUGGGGAUCAAACAGGAUUAGAUACCCGGGUAGUCC